GGGAAUCUACCGUGCCCUGCGGAAUAGCUCCGGGAAACUGGAAUUAAUACCGCAUACGCCCUACGGGGGAAAGAUUUAUCGGGGUAUGAUGAGCCCGCGUUGGAUUAGCUAGUUGGUGGGGUAAAGGCCUACCAAGGCGACGAUCCAUAGCUGGUCUGAGAGGAUGAUCAGCCACAUUGGGACUGAGACACGGCCCAAACUCCUACGGGAGGCAGCAGUGGGGAAUAUUGGACAAUGGGCGCAAGUCUGAUCCAGCCAUGCCGCGUGAGUGAUGAAGGCCUUAGGGUUGUAAAGCUCUUUCACCGGAGAAGAUAAUGACGGUAUCCGGAGAAGAAGCCCCGGCUAACUUCGUGCCAGCAGCCGCGGUAAUACGAAGGGGGCUAGCGUUGUUCGGAAUUACUGGGCGUAAAGCGCACGUAGGCGGAUAUUUAAGUCAGGGGUGAAAUCCCAGAGCUCAACUCUGGAACUGCCUUUGAUACUGGGUAUCUUGAGUAUGGAAGAGGUAAGUGGAAUUGCGAGU
rnacentral:rRNA from 1 species